rnacentral:lncRNA from 1 species
AUAGUACUCCAGCAAAAGCAGCUGAACUUGUAACAGUCACCAGCUGGCACACAUUGAAAUAGCUCAGCCUCAUUCUCCAGCUGAGAUCCAGCACAGCUGAUCUUGGUGUAGGGCAUAAAUCUGCAUAGAGCUCACAUGUGGCCCUUCUAUGCUGGGGGUAGAUGUACUCGAUCCUCUGGGCUUGGGAAGGUCUUGGCAAAUGUGGAUUUUUCUCCUUUUGCAGAGGCUUUUGGAGGUUCUGAAAAACCAGACAACAUCAGCUGCUGCACCUUUUGCCCCCUACAGGACACAGACACUGUCCAGGGCAAAGUGCAGCUGGAGCCUAGAGAAGGAUGCGCCUUCACCAGGGCAUUUACCAGCGCUGCUCAGAGCUUCAGCAAGACGGAAAAGCCCCCUGCAAAGCAAACCAAGGGCUGCCGUGGAGAAGAGAGAAGCAGACAGCUCUGUUCCUACUCCCGUUCACACACGGGGAACAAACCACAGCCUGCAGCAAAGUGGAGGAUGAUGGUGAGAACAGGCAGUUCUCCUGGACCGCUUCACAUGGCAGUAACCAGAUUAAAACACAAGGCAAGGCAAACCUCCAGCCUUCCACAUGCACGCACUGCCUGGGCUGUGAUCAGAAAUGCUCUGCCUGC